CAACAUGGUUAAUCUGAAUUAAAUUUCGCCGAUGCGUUCAUGCGUUAGAGCGCCAAUCCAUUCGCAUAGUUGUUUUUGAAAAACAUGUGUGAAACCCGUUGCGAUGGACUGAGAGUUGCUUAUUUAGUAUUUGGUUUAUUAUAUGUGGAUAAUGUGUUGGGAUUUGUUAAUGAUGAGCUGGUGAAUGAACUGUAUACGAUGUAUAGAGACGCUGUGAACAGUGAACCUUCAUCAUCACAACGCCGACUCUUUAAAAAUAACAAAGAAUACAACAUUCACGUUGAACGACUGAAAGAAGUUAAUGGAUUUAAGAAACAUAAUCUUAUCAUUAAAGAAGUACUACGAUCUGAUACAGAUCCCAUAAUUUAUAUCAAUAAUCCGGUAGAAUCUAAAAUACCAAAUGCGUAUCUAACUUUAGAAGAAUUCAAAAAAAUACUUAGCGAGAGAGUUAAAAAAGAACAAGAUUCGUUCAAAAUUUCAACGAAAUAUAAAAAGAUAUCAAACACAUUUUACAAUACAAUAACUACAAGUAAUCCAAUUAAUACCAAGGAAAGAGUGUAUAAGACAAUAUCAAAUAAGGAAGAUACAACAAAGAUUAAGAACAAGCCUCCUACUGAAGAACUUAAACCGAAAUCAUUGAAAUUCAAUACAUCAGGUUUUCCAACGAAUGUUGUUCCUACACGAACUUCAACUACGAAAACCACGACGAAUAAUAUAGACAAAAGUGUAGACAAAAAUGUAACUGAAACACAAUCGGUAGAUACUUCGAUAGACCACCAAAUUAACACCACUCCAGGUAUAUUUACUAUCGUUAACAAUACAAUAAUGGAAGAUGAUAACAAUGUCACACAGAAUACAAUAAGAGAAGAAAACACACAUUUAGAAGAAAAUAAUGAUGACAAAUCAAAUGACUCUACUUUAGCAUUAAAAUUGAUCACAGACGGUCAAACAGAAGAACCGUCUAGAAGUGUGGCAGUAGAAGAAACAACAGAAGAAAUACAACCUCAUAUUUCAACUGUUACAAGUACCGAAACUACCACUUUUAGUACAACUACGACAAGAUCGAGAAAAUUGAACAGACCGAGGGUGUUUGUUGGGCGAUGACAAAAUAAGUUUGUAUUAAAGAAAGACACUAAUUUUCAUACAUCAAUAAAUACAUUAGUUUAACUUCCAAUGUCUCAUUAUCUUUUAAAUAUCUAUUGUUAUUUAAUUUUAUAGGUAAAUACACCUAUACCAACAAAUAUA